UACGAAGGGGGCUAGCGUUGUUCGGAAUUACUGGGCGUAAAGGGCGCGCAGGCGGUCCUUCAAGUCAGGCGUGAAAGCCCCGGGCUCAACCUGGGAAUAGCGCUUGAGACUGAGGGACUUGAGUUCGGGAGAGGUGAGUGGAAUGCCGAGUGUAGAGGUGAAAUUCGUAGAUAUUCGGCGGAACACCAGUGGCGAAGGCGACUCACUGGCCCGAUACUGACGCUGAGGCGCGAAAGCGUGGGGAGCAAACAGG
rnacentral:rRNA from 1 species